CCCUUCCCUUUUGUUGUUCUUCCAGAUCCUGUUGUGGUUUCUAUUGCAGAUGGGUUUCUUUGAGCCAUGAAGAUUGCAUGGUUGAAGGGUGACUUCAGUUUGCUAAGCAGCAGCUUCUCCUGGCAUGAGCCACUGCAGAUCUCCUCAUCAGACGGGCUGAGACUAUCCUGUGUGCCCUGCACUUGGAGUAAGGAGAACACAGCAAGGUUGGUCCAACAGCCUUCCUGGAGUAUGACUCAGAAAAAGAAGGACCACAGCACCACACUGGCAAGAGGUAACUUGAACCAUAAUUUUACCUUUCCCACCAUCACCUCUAUGAUGUGGGCCAGUAACUUAAUCUCUCUAAACAAACUGUUUCCUGGC
rnacentral:lncRNA from 1 species